GCUCGAGUGGCGAACGGGUGAGUAACACGUGAGUAACCUGCCCUUGACUUUGGGAUAACUCCAGGAAACUGGGGCUAAUACCGGAUAGGAGCUCCUGCUGCAUGGUGGGGGUUGGAAAGUUUCGGCGGUUGGGGAUGGACUCGCGGCUUAUCAGCUUGUUGGUGGGGUAGUGGCUUACCAAGGCGGCGACGGGUAGCCGGCCUGAGAGGGUGGACGGCCACAUUGGGACUGAGAUACGGCCCAG
rnacentral:rRNA from 1 species